GUCCCUGUAGCGUAAUGAACAGCGCGUUGGACUUCUAAUCCAAAGUCAUAGGUUCGAAUCCUACCAGGGAUG